ACCAGUACCGUGAGGGAAAGGUGAAAAGCACCCCGGGAGGGGAGUGAAACAGUACCUGAAACCGUGCGCCCACAAACCGUCGGAGCCUCCUUGUGGGGUGACGGCGUGCCUAUCGAAAAAUGAGUCUGCGAGUCAGUGGCGGGUGGCGAGCAUAAGCCGUGUGGCGUAUGCGUAGCGAAAGCGAGUCUUAAAAGGCGUUUUUAGUCGCUUGUCCUGGACCCGAAGCGGGAUGAUCUAGCCCUGGGCAGGUUGAAGCGCGGGUAAGACCGCGUGGAGGACCGAACCCACCUGGGUUGAAAACCGGGGGGAUGACCUGGGGCUAGGGGUGAAAGGCCAAUCAAAUUCCGUGAUAGCUGGUUCUCUCCGAAAUGCAUUUAGGUGCAGCGUCGGUCGAUUGCGUCGCGGGGGUAGAGCUACCGGAUGCUUGCGGGCCCUUGUUGGGUACCAACAGCAGCCGAACUCCGAAUACCGUUGACGUGUAUUCCGGCAGUGAGUCGGCGGGGGAUAAGCUCCGUCGUCGAGAGGGAGACAGCCCAGACCGUCGUCUAAGGUCCCGAAGCGUGUGCUAAGUGGGAAAGGAUGUGGAGUCGCAUAGACAGCCAGGAGGUUGGCUCAGAAGCAGCCAUCCUUGAAAGAGUGCGUAACAGCUCACUGGUCUAGUGGUUCCGCGCCGACAAUGUAGCGGGGCUCAAGCACACCACCGAAGACGCGGCAGCAAUCUUCAUGGUUGCUGGGUAGGAGAGCGUCCUGCGAGGGGCGAAGCGGCCGGGUAACCGUGCCGUGGACUUCGUGGGAGUGAGAAUGCAGACAUGAGUAGCGAGAGACGGGUGAGGAUCCCGUCCGCUGGAUGACCAAGGGUUCCGGGGCCACGUUCGUCGUCCCCGGGUGAGUCGGGUCCUAAGGCGAGGCCGACAGGCGUAGUCGAAUGGAUGAACGGGUGGAUAUUCCCGUACCGACCAUGGACCGGCAAAACCGAGACGGUGAGUACUAACCUCCGCCUCGUGGUGGUUCCUUCCUUCGGGUUGGUAUCGCCGCGUGGUGUUGGGACUGUAGCCGUAGUAGGUCAGCGCAGGGGUGACACGGAAUGGGAGCCGGCCGCGGAGGUGGUUUUCCGUGGUCAAGCACGCAGCCAGUCAUGUAGGCAAAUCCGCAUGGCGUGCAUGGCGAGGUGUGAUGAUGGGAGCCUUUUGGGCUCGAUAUCCGGUUGUCCAGGCCGUCGAGAAAAGCCUCGGCGUGAGGGCCAUGGCCGCCCGUACCCCAAACCGACACUGGUGGUCAGGUAGAGAAUACCAAGGCGAUCGAGCGAAUCCUGGUCAAGGAACUCGGCAAAUCACUCCCGUGCCUUCGGUAUAAGGGAGACCCGCUGGGGUGAAGGACCUUGCGUCCGGAGCUUUGGUGGGUGGCACAGACCAGGGGGUAGCGACUGUUUACCAAAAACACAGGUGCAUGCGAAGGCGAAAGCCGCUGUAUAUGCACUGACGCCUGCCCGGUGCCGGAAGGUUAAGAGGAUCCGUCAAUCCCUUCGGGGACGAAGCGGUGAAUUCAAGCCCCGGUAAACGGCGGUGGUAACUAUAACCAUCCUAAGGUAGCGAAAUUCCUUGUCGGGUAAGUUCCGACCUGCACGAAUGGCGUAA
rnacentral:rRNA from 1 species